ensembl:rRNA 5S_rRNA 5S ribosomal RNA
GUCUGUAGUUAUACCACCUUCGGCUUUGAUCUUGUCAGAUCUCAUAAACUAAGCAAGACUGGGCCUGCUGUGUAAUUGGGAUGGAAGACCUCCAAGGAAAACCCAGCUGUUGUAGGAA